rnacentral:rRNA from 1 species
UACGUAGGGGGCAAGCGUUGUCCGGAAUCAUUGGGCGUAAAGCGCGUGUAGGCGGCUCGGUAAGUCUGCUGUGAAAGUCCAGGGCUCAACCCUGGGAUGCCGGUGGAUACUGUCGAGCUCGAGUCCGGAAGAGGCGAGUGGAAUUCCUGGUGUAGCGGUGAAAUGCGCAGAUAUCGGGAGGAACACCGAUGGCGAAGGCAGCUCGCUGGGACGUGACUGACGCUGAGACGCGAAAGCGUGGGGAGCAAACAGG